rnacentral:rRNA from 1 species
AUUGAACGCUGGCGGCAGGCCUAACACAUGCAAGUCGAACGGUAACAGGAAACAGCUUGCUGUUUCGCUGACGAGUGGCGGACGGGUGAGUAAUGCCUGGGAAACUGCCUGAUGGAGGGGGAUAACUACUGGAAACGGUAGCUAAUACCGCAUAACGUCGCAAGACCAAAGAGGGGGACCUUCGGGCCUCUUGCCAUCGGAUGUGCCCAGAUGGGAUUAGCUAGUAGGUGGGGUAACGGCUCACCUAGGCGACGAUCCCUAGCUGGUCUGAGAGGAUGACCAGCCACACUGGAACUGAGACACGGUCCAGACUCCUACGGGAGGCAGCAGUGGGGAAUAUUGCACAAUGGGCGCAAGCCUGAUGCAGCCAUGCCGCGUGUAUGAAGAAGGCCUUCGGGUUGUAAAGUACUUUCAGCGGGGAUGAAGGGAGUAAAGUUAAUACCUUUGCUCAUUGACGUUACCCGCAGAAGAAGCACCGGCUAACUCCGUG